AGAGUUUGAUCCUGGCUCAGGACGAACGCUGGCGGCGUGCCUAAUACAUGCAAGUAGAACGCUGAAGAGAGGAGCUUGCUCUUCUUGAAUGAGUUGCGAACGGGUGAGUAACGCGUAGGUAACCUGCCUUGUAGCGGGGGAUAACUAUUGGAAACGAUAGCUAAUACCGCAUAACAAUGGGUGACACAUGUCAUUUAUUUGAAAGGGGCAAUUGCUCCACUACAAGAUGGACCUGCGUUGUAUUAGCUAGUAGGUGAGGUAACGGCUCACCUAGGCGACGAUACAUAGCCGACCUGAGAGGGUGAUCGGCCACACUGGGACUGAGACACGGCCCAGACUCCUACGGGAGGCAGCAGUAGGGAAUCUUCGGCAAUGGGGGCAACCCUGACCGAGCAACGCCGCGUGAGUGAAGAAGGUUUUCGGAUCGUAAAGCUCUGUUGUAAGUCAAGAACGAGUGUGAGAGUGGAAAGUUCACACUGUGACGGUAGCUUACCAGAAAGGGACGGCUAACUACGUGCCAGCAGCCGCGGUAAUACGUAGGUCCCGAGCGUUGUCCGGAUUUAUUGGGCGUAAAGCGAGCGCAGGCGGUUUGAUAAGUCUGAAGUUAAAGGCUGUGGCUCAACCAUAGUUCGCUUUGGAAACUGUCAAACUUGAGUGCAGAAGGGGAGAGUGGAAUUCCAUGUGUAGCGGUGAAAUGCGUAGAUAUAUGGAGGAACACCGGUGGCGAAAGCGGCUCUCUGGUCUGUAACUGACGCUGAGGCUCGAAAGCGUGGGGAGCGAACAGGAUUAGAUACCCUGGUAGUCCACGCCGUAAACGAUGAG
rnacentral:rRNA from 1 species